rnacentral:rRNA from 1 species
AACGAACGCUGGCGGCAGGCUUAACACAUGCAAGUCGAGCGCCUCGCAAGAGGAGCGGCAGACGGGCGAGUAACGCGUGGGAACGUACCCUUAUCUUCGGAAUAGCUCUGGGAAACUGGAAGUAAUACCGAAUGUGCCCUUAGGGGGAAAGAUUUAUCGGAUAAGGAUCGGCCCGCGUUGGAUUAGCUAGUUGGUGGGGUAAAGGCCUACCAAGGCGACGAUCCAUAGCUGGUCUGAGAGGAUGAUCAGCCACAUUGGGACUGAGACACGGCCCAAACUCCUACGGGAGGCAGCAGUGGGGAAUAUUGGACAAUGGGCGCAAGCCUGAUCCAGCCAUGCCGCGUGAGUGAUGAAGGCCUUAGGGUUGUAAAGCUCUUUCACCGGAGAAGAUAAUGACGGUAUCCGGAGAAGAAGCCCCGGCUAACUUCGUG